ACGUACGGCCAUAGAUAUUGGAAUACACGGGAUCCCGUCCGCUCUCCCCUAGUUAAACCAAUAAUCGGUGGAUUAGUAGUUGGGUCGGUGACGACCAGCGAAUACCCGCUGCUGUACGUU
rfam:Ophiostoma piceae TAMH 11346 chromosome Tnknown scf19, whole genome shotgun sequence.